UGCCAGCCGCCGCGGUAAUACGGAGGAUGCAGGCGUUAUCCGGAUUUAUUGGGUUUAAAGCGCACGUAGGCGGAUUAGUAAGUUAGGGGUGAAAUCCCGGGGCUCAACCCCGGAACUGCCUCUAAUACUGCUCGUCUUGAGUGUCGGAGAGGGAAGCGGAAUUCUGGGUGCAGAGGUGAAAUUCGUAGAUAUCCGGAGGAACACCGGUGGCGAAGGCGGCUUCCUGGACGACUACUGACGACUGAGACGCGAAAGCGUGGGGAGCAAACAGGAUUAGAUA
rnacentral:rRNA from 1 species